CCUACGGGGGGCAGCAGUGGGGAAUAUUGGACAAUGGGGGGAACCCUGAUCCAGCGACGCCGCGUGAGUGAAGAAGUAUUUCGGUAUGUAAAGCUCUAUCAGCAGGGAAGAAAGAAAUGACGGUACCUGACUAAGAAGCCCCGGCUAACUACGUGCCAGCAGCCGCGGUAAUACAUAGGGGGCAAGCGUUAUCCGGAUUUACUGGGUGUAAAGGGAGCGUAGACGGCGAUGCAAGCCAGAUGUGAAAGCCCGCGGCUCAACUGCGGUAGUGCAUUUGGAACUGUAUGGCUGGAGUGCAGGAGAGG
rnacentral:rRNA from 1 species